rnacentral:misc_RNA from 1 species
CCCAUUUGUACAAUCGCCAGACGAAACCCCAUUUGCACAUAAGAAUUGCCGUAAGGAAGAAAAAGGAAGAGCAUGGCGACACGUAGGUCUGCUCUCGCGGCCCUUAAGGCGUCUCGUUCCCGCGUACUGUCUCAGUCUCGUCCAGCAGUCUCUCGUCUCUCUGAGAAUAGAAUACUUGGCGGCAGCACCGCACCGCUUUGCAAUGGGUUUGUUAUUGCAGAAAGAAGUGCGGCCAAUUCUAAUGUUUGGAGGAAUUAUGACUUGUUUGCCAAGAUUUUCUUACGCUCAUACUCCACUGCUAGCUCUGAACAGAUCAAUAAUACGGACUACACAGAGAUGGCUCUUGACGCUAUUGUUGGUGCUGUAGAAGCAGCACGGACCAACAAGCAACAAGUAGUUGAGACUGAGCACUUAAUGAAAGCUCUUUUGGAGCAGAAGGAUGGGUUGGCUCGAAGGAUAUUCACGAAGGCUGGGUUGGACAACACAUCAGUACUGCAAGAAACAAAUAAUUUUAUAUCUCAGCAACCGAAGGUUGUAGGUGAUACUAGUGGCCCAAUAAUGGGUUCACAUCUUAGUUCCCUCCUAGAGACUACGAAGAAGCAUAAGAAGGCAAUGGAAGAUUCUUAUAUGUCUGUGGAACAUAUGUUGCUAGCUUUUUUUUCAGACAAAAGAUUUGGUCAAAAGUUAUUUAGAGAUCUCAAGCUUACAGAGGAGGCUUUGAAGGAUGUUGUAAAUGCUAUUCGUGGAAGUCAGAGAGUAACUGAUCCGAACCCAGAGGGAAAAUAUGAGGCACUGGAUAGAUAUGGAAAUGACUUAACUGAACUUGCCAGACGUGGUAAACUUGACCCGGUAAUAGGAAGAGAUGAUGAAAUACGGCGCUGCAUCCACAUAUUAAGUCGGAGGACAAAGAACAAUCCUGUAAUUAUUGGUGAGCCUGGAGUGGGGAAAACUGCAAUUGCUGAAGGGUUAGCUCAAAGGAUAGUACGUGGAGAUGUUCCUGAACCUUUGAUGAAUCGGAAGUUGAUAUCUCUCGAUAUGGGUGCCUUGCUUGCUGGUGCAAAGUACCGUGGAGAUUUUGAGGAGAGGUUGAAAGCUGUUUUAAAGGAAGUCUCUGCAUCCAAUGGGCAGAUUAUAUUGUUUAUUGAUGAGAUACACACUGUAGUUGGUGCAGGAGCUACUAGCGGGGCCAUGGAUGCAGGGAAUUUGUUGAAACCCAUGCUUGGUCGGGGUGAACUUAGAUGUAUUGGAGCAACCACUUUGAAUGAAUAUAGGAAGUACAUUGAGAAGGACCCUGCUCUAGAGCGUAGAUUUCAACAAGUAUAUUGUGGCCAACCUUCUGUGGAAGAUACAAUUUCUAUCCUCCGUGGAUUGCGUGAACGAUAUGAGCUGCAUCAUGGCGUUAAAAUAUCAGACAGUGCUCUUGUGUCAGCUGCAGUUCUUGCAGAUCGAUAUAUUACUGAGCGAUUUUUGCCGGAUAAAGCAAUUGACCUUGUUGAUGAAGCUGCUGCAAAACUAAAGAUGGAAAUUACUUCAAAGCCAACUGAAUUAGAUGAGAUAGAUAGGACUGUGAUGAAGUUGGAAAUGGAGAAACUGUCUCUGAAGAAUGACACGGAUAAAGCAUCCAAAGAAAGAUUGAACAAGCUAGAAAGUGAUUUGAACUCCUUUAAGCAAAACCAGAAAGAGUUAAACGAACAGUGGGAACGCGAGAAAGCUUUGAUGACACGCAUACGUUCUAUAAAGGAAGAGAUUGACAGGGUGAACUUAGAGAUGGAAGCUGCUGAACGUGAUUAUGACUUGAAUCGUGCUGCUGAACUCAAGUAUGGGACCCUAAUUACCCUUCAACGCCAGCUAGAAGAAGCAGAGAGAAACCUGGCUGACUACCAGAAGUCUGGGAGUUCAAUGCUUCGCGAAGAAGUAACAGAUCUUGAUAUUAUUGAAAUUGUAAGCAAGUGGACGGGCAUACCAUUAUCAAACCUUCAGCAGUCUGAGAGAGACAAGCUUGUCUUUUUAGAAAAUGAACUUCACAAAAGAGUUAUUGGUCAGGAUAUGGCAGUAAAAUCUGUAGCUGAUUCAAUCAGGCGAUCCAGGGCAGGCCUAUCCGAUCCAAAUCGGCCCAUUGCAAGCUUUAUGUUUAUGGGCCCUACAGGAGUUGGCAAAACUGAACUUGGAAAGGCUCUUGCUGCUUACCUUUUCAAUACUGAAAACGCUUUGGUGCGUAUUGACAUGAGUGAAUACAUGGAGAAACAUGCUGUUUCACGGUUGGUUGGUGCACCACCAGGUUAUGUUGGAUAUGAAGAGGGUGGGCAACUCACCGAAGUGGUCCGUCGGAGGCCUUACUCUGUGAUCCUAUUUGAUGAAAUUGAG